rnacentral:rRNA from 1 species
UAGAGUUUGAUCUGGCUCAGAACGAACGCUGGCGGCAGGCCUAAUACAUGCAAGUCGAACGAACCUUCGGGUGAGUGGCGCACGGGUGAGUAACACGUGGGAACGUACCCUUCACUGCGGAACAACGUCGGGAAACUGACGCUAAUACCGCAUAAUGUCUCCGGACCAAAGAUUUAUCGGUGAAGGAUCGGCCCGCGUUAGAUUAGGUUGUUGGUGGGGUAAUGGCCUACCAAGCCUACGAUCUAUAGCUGGUCUUAGAGGAUGAUCAGCCACACUGGGACUGAGACACGGCCCAGACUCCUACGGGAGGCAGCAGUAAGGAAUAUUGGACAAUGGGCGCAAGCUUGAUCCAGCCAUGCCGCGUGAGUGACGAAGGCCUUAGGGUUGUAAAGCUCUUUCAGGUGCGAAGAUAAUGACUGUAACACCAGAAGAAGCCCCGGCUAAAUUCGUGCCAGCAGCCGCGGUAAUACGAAUGGGGCGAGCGUUGUUCGGAAUCACUGGGCGUAAAGCGUAUGCAGGCGGACAUGCAAGUCAGAAGUGAAAUCCCAGGGCUUAACCCUGGAAUGGCUUUUGAAACUGCAUGUCUAGAGUCU